CCUACGGGCGGCUGCAGUGGGGAAUAUUGCACAAUGGGCGCAAGCCUGAUGCAGCCAUGCCGCGUGUGUGAAGAAGGCCUUUGGGUUGUAAAGCACUUUCAGCGGGGAGGAAGGCGGUGAGGUUAAUAACCUCAUCGAUUGACGUUACCCGCAGAAGAAGCACCGGCUAACUCCGUGCCAGCAGCCGCGGUAAUACGGAGGGUGCAAGCGUUGAUCGGAAUUACUGGGCGUAAAGCGCACGCAGGCGGUCUGUCAAGUCGGAUGUGAAAUCCCCGGGCUCAACCUGGGAACUGCAUUCGAAACUGGCAGGCUAGAGUCUUGUAGAGGGGGGUAGAAUUCCAGGUGUAGCGGUGAAAUGCGUAGAGAUCUGGAGGAAUACCGGUGGCGAAGGCGGCCCCCUGGACAAAGACUGACGCUCAGGUGCGAAAGCGUGGGGAGCAAACAGGAUUAGAUACCCGGGUAGUC
rnacentral:rRNA from 1 species